rnacentral:rRNA from 1 species
AUUGAACGCUGGCGGCAUGCUUUACACAUGAAAGUCGGACGAGUGGCGAACGGGUGAGUAACGCAUCGGAACGUACCGAGUAUUGGGGGAUAACUGCCCGAAAGGACAGCUAAUACCGCAUAUUAUCCGAUCGGCAGAUGUCGGAUUAGCUGGGUGGGGGGGUACAGGCCCACCAAGGCGACGCUCAGUAGCGGGUCUGAGAGGAGGACCAGCCACACCGGGACUGAGACACGGCCCGGACUCCUACGGGAGGCAGCAGUGGGGAAUAUUGCGCAAUGGGGGCAACCCUGACGCAGCCAUGCCGCGUGAAUGAAGAAGGCCUUCGGGUUGUAAAGUUCUUUCGGUGACGAGGCGUUAAUCACAGAAGAAGCACCGGCUAACUCCGUGCCAGCCGCCGCGGUAAUAC